AAUCAACACAUCUACUUCCAUAUAUACACAUUACAAAGCUAUUCAAAUAUCCAGACUUAACCAGAAAGACUUUCUUUUGUGCAUGUCAAUAAAUAUAUAACUGUUGUGAUUCUGAUGUUAAUAUUAUAUUCAAAAACAUGCAUGAAGCUGACUUGUUAUAUGAAUACAAUAAACAAUAGUUUUAUUUAUCUAUUCCAAACCAAUAGACCUAAUUAAACUACUAGUCUUUCAAGAAACAGAGGGAGAGAGAUUACAGAGAGAGGAGCAAGGCGGUGAGGACAGAGGUCAUCAAAGGCGGCCCAUUUCUGAUCGUUCCGAUCGAACCAGAGGACGAGGUUUCGACCCAGGAGCUGAAACCGGGUAGGCGAAUUCGGAUCCAGAUCUUCAACCAGAGAAACCGGAUACCAGUGAUCUCUCCACUUGAACUCAGACCCUUCUUCGCCGUGCUCUUCUUCGAUCCGACUCUCCUCCGCCGGAUCUGAAGUGGGUACUGAGGGUGGCGCGGCCACGCGAAGAGGGCUGUCGAGAAGUUUCGGUCUUUGAGGAGAAAUCGAGACUCUGGACGGGAAUUUCGCGGAGUUGGGAGAUAAGAAGGGAAUCUUUAUGGAUUUAGAUUUGGUGAGUGUCGCUGAAGCUGAAGAGACUAAAACAACUGACAUUGCUUCUUUCGUAGGAAUGAUUUUUGCUGAAACCUGCGAGAAGAACAAGGAAGAGAUGAAGAAGAGAUUGCGUGCAAGUUUUGUGUUUUACCAUUUGGUGUUCUUGUCUUUUAACGCCAAACUGUUUGAACAAAUGUUUAACACGUGGCAGAUUUUGGCACUUGGCAUAUAUGAAUGCUAAUCAGAGAUCUCAGUGUUUUGUUUUUCCAACCAAAUCUAUGGAUGGCACUGAACGACCAAAUCUAUGGCUUCUGCUUGUUUUCAAUUUCAACAUUAGCAUCUGGGAUUCUGGGUUUUCGGACCAGUUAAGCAUCCAACAGUUUCGGAUAAAUGUGUAACGAUAUGAUUUGACAGUCUUUUUCUCCAGAUUUAGUUCCCUUAAAUAACGUUUUCCCCAACGAUAUGAUUUGCCAAUUGUGUUAUCUGUAACCUAAGUCCCGCGCACAAUUCUUCUGUAGGAUCAAGAUUUCUUGAUAGCAUAACUGGUAUACUAAUCCUCAGCUUUAGCUCAUGAUUAGGUAGCCCCAAUGUCUUUAUACUAUUAAAAAAACUCUGGUGAAAAAACGAAGUCAUCUUUUGAAUUCAUAAGCACAUCACUAAACACUUCUCCCAUGUCUGAAUCAAUGUCAGCAAUUGUGCACAUCACUAUACACUUCUCCACCUAUAUAAACAUGAAAAAUUGUUUAAGGAAAGAUAAAAGUAAAUCAGAGUAAGAACAAAUAAGUGUACAGAUUUUCUAGGCAUUACAAUAAUCAAACAUUUGAGGCACAGAUUUUCUAGGUGUGUGAACAAAAAAAUUCAUCCUUUUUUAAACUCCAAUCACCAAAAUAGAGGCUUUGAGUCCAUAAUUGCUAAUGAUAUCUCAUCGUGUGGUAACCUACAUAUAUAGAAUAAAAAGAAAACUAAAAAUACUCAUGGUCGAUUAGUUUAAGGAAAACAUUCCAACAAACAUGCCUGAAGUGAAUUAUUGACUAAAAGUUCAUAAUAGACACAAAAACUUCCACCUCUGCCAUAUUCGAAUUUAGGUGUGAUAUCUGACACAUUAUAGGCAUUGGAGAUGCCCCAAUCUUCAGCCAAAAAAUAUAUAUUCAAAUAUACAAUUAGAAACACUACUAAUAUAAGAUCCACCAUCAAUGAGAAACUGUCUAAAUCUGUAAAUAUUUAACUUUUCAAAUUUUAAUCUUUCUAAACCUCAAAACACAAAUCAGUGAAUGUUGACUACAAACCUGAAUAUCAUCAGCAACAUCUGUUGCAAAUUGACCCCAUAAUACAGGUGGGAGACGUUCGUCCCUAAUUCAAAUAGAAGAUGUUAGUCGUUUAAAAAUUGUAUUUGAUGUUGUGGUUGAAUAUAAGUCGUGUUUUGUCUUCGAUAGAUACUCAGGUUGAGAAGUUCAAUAGAAAUCUUGUUGGUGUCUUUUCCAUUGACCGAAACAACCUCAAGAUGGGUCACUUUUACUAUUUGUCCGAUAACAUUUAGAAAAUUAAAAUUCAACUUUUGGUUUAUGAAAAUGCAACAUAUGCUAAAAUUCAACUUCAAGAUGGUAUAUGUCAAUAGUUUUUUCUGAUUAACUAGGCGACGAAGUCACUGAUGCUGGAUGCAUUAGUCGUUAUUACAUAAGACAUGCAGAGUGGUGGGUUACCAUGUGGAUGCAAGAUAUACUGAGAUGGAGAAGGAUAAACUGAGGGUUUAUGUCUUGAUGUAGUCGUUGAAGUAGUUGAUGAGGCAGUGUGCGUCGGAGAGUAAACCAGGAGGCAUGAGGAGUGGUAGAGACCAUGUGGACGCAAGGUGCUGAGCUGGUGUGGGAUAAACUUGAGGAGCAAGUUUAUACCAUGUGGAAAAAGUAAGAGAUAAACUUGGUGAGCAAGUUUAUGCCUUGAGGAAUAAAUGCAUUUCAAGAAAAAGAAAGUAUAUUUAUUGAUAUAGAAGUUGUCAAUAUCCAUGUUCCUUGGAAGCUAGAGUUUCAGGAACAUAAAGAUCACUAUAAAAGAGUUAUUGAGUCGUGUGUAUUCCAUAAGAUACCGGCUAUUAUUAUAGAUGAAGGGUGAAAAUCCCUUAGGGAUGUUCUUGGAUCGUGCUGAAGCAAAUGCUGAAGUACUGACGACAGGGAGACAAGUUUGGAUAGAUUAAGAGUCUUUCAGUAGUAGCUGUUAGGGUGUCAAUAGGCUGUGUAAAACUGAUAAGCAAGUCUUGUAAUAGAUUAUUUAGGCGGUUUCUAAUAAAGCAUAGUUGGUUGCUUGUAUCCGAUUGUCUCUUGAUUUAUCUUUUGCAUUACUCAAUUGUGGUGUCAUCUUUGCACUAACAGUUUAGAAUAUGUAGCAUAUAUAAAAAAAAAAUAGAAUAGUGAGGAAUGAUACUAACCAACCAAGUAGUCCCGGUUGAAAGUUCCAUCUAGUAUGGUUUUGCAAUUGGCCAGUCACUGCUCUUGGUAAAUCUUCACAGAUUCUCACACAGGUUGUUGACAUGACGUUUAUCUUGUAAAUGUGAUUCGUAGUACGAUAUGAUCCACUUGAAUGGUUCAUAUAGAAUUUUAUGAAAAAAAUUGACCUGCCUUCAGCCAUGAAAGAAUCAAAUUGGUUCACUAAAUCCUUUUUCACACUUGUAUGAAUUUUGUAACCUUAUUUAAGAAUUAAGUCAACACAUUCAUGUUAGAUCACAUAGCAUAUAGAACUGAAGUUAGAAAUAAAUUCAUGUUAGACCAUGUUAUCAAUCAUUGCAUUCCAUAUAUAUAGGCAUUACAGUGAGAUAAGUAAGACAUUAAUGUUACUUACAUUAGCAUCGAUGAGCACCAUUUCAACGAUGAGACCACUGACCGCCAAGUACUUCUUCUGAACAUGUGUUUAUUUAGAGUUUCUUUCUUUUUACAUUAAUUAUAUGUAGAUUCAAGAACCAAGGUUUCCACAUUUUUAAUGUAUUGGAAUGUCUCUUUUCAAAACAAAUACUACAUAAACAACAUUACAAAAUUUACCGAAGUAAACAAAAAAUUCAAUCUAAAAUAGUUUUUUUUUUACAGCCUAUCUAAAAUAGUUAUUUUCAUAUAUUUCUAAAGUUUAAUGGCUCAAAUUAUAAUAUAUGAUCAGUAAUAAUUUUUAUUAUGCAUGUUGUUGACCUGUUUAUAGCUCAAACUGUAAGAUCUAAUCAGUUAAUGCGGUUUUUAGUUAAAAUAAUGAAUAUUAAUGAUAAUUAUGUGUUGAAGUGUUAUUUAAACAAAAAAAGUUUUAUACAUGUUUCAAAACUAACUAGAUAUAAAACAUAAAGAAAUUUCUCAAAUUAUAAUAUAUGAUCAGCAAUAAAUUUUAUUAUGCAUGUUAUUGAUCUGCUUAUAGCUCAAAUUGUAAUAUCUAAACUACUUAACGCAUUGAUGAAAAAUAUAUGUUGAAGCAUUAUUAAAAAAAAGAUUAGUAAUGUUAUAAGUAGAGAAGAUAGAAAGAGGAAUUGGUGUGUCUUAUUCAUUGAGUAAUAUAUCAUUUUAUAUAGGAUUACAAUAGUGUGGAGACAAAGUCUAACUUGGAGUGAGGAACAAGUAUAUUUAGGACUUUCCAAAUGGACAUCACCACAAUAUUUAUAACACUUACCCUUGAUGUCCAUUAUACCAAAGUGCUUUCAAAACGCCGUAGAUGCUGUUUCGUUAAAGACCUUAUCAAGAAAACCCAAUGGGAAAAACCAUGAUUAAGGAAAAAAGAGUAUAGCGCGUAAUGACUUUCCCUCAUGUGUACAUACGUCAAGAUCUUUGAGAUGAUGUAGUCUGAUAAGAUGAACUAACUUCUUGAAAGUAGCAGUGGUUAGCGGCUUGGUGAAUAAGUCAGAGAAAUUGUCACUUAAACGAACUUGUAGGACGGACAUCGACAUUCUUCUGCAGUGUAUGAGUCUUGAUAUGAUUUGAUAUUUUUCUUCAAUUCUCUUGACUUCAAAAUUUUAGAUCUGUUAUAGACUUUCAACUUUGAAAUUAUAAUAAUUCUUUCGGGUGUCUAUCAUUUGUGUGUUCUUUGUUUAAUGUUUAGGGUUUUUGCUCAGGGUUAGGGUUUCGUACUGAUAGCGUAUUAUAAGUAGAGAAGAUAAAAAGAGGAAGAAGUUGGCAGGACAGAAAGAAAUGGAUGGAGCGAGAGAAAACCCUAGCCGCUAGCGACCCAAAAGGUGAUUCUCAGAUCUGAAGCCCCCCAUCCCCGACGUCUUCUCCGAUCUGACCCUCCGGCCUUUCCAGACUCACAAGGGAGACUACCAACACUCCUUGUGUUUUCUGUCGUCUAGAUCUCCUACGUAUCUCUCUGGCUUCUUUGCCACGUCUACUUUUUUCAUCGUUCUCUCUCUCAGUCUGUCUCUACUCCGGCCUCCCUCUAGCAAACUGCUAAGCCCCAGUGAACCCUACAUCAUGUCUCUAUCAUCGAUGAUUGUGCGUAAAGGUGGACCCUCCACCGUGCGUCGCAAGCUUGACUCGGAAGAUGAGAUCAUCCGAAUCCCGGACUGUGAUCUUGAUGCUGUGGCCGAUCGCUUCCGUCUGACUCUUAUUGGACGAGUUUUUAACCUUCAAGGACGAAGCAUUGAUGCUUUGAUCCACCUUCUCCCUCGUAACAGGAUCUGGAAUGUUGAGGGGCGAGUCAGAGGGAUCAAUCUUGGCAACGGGCGUUUCCAGUUCGAUUUUGACAAUGAAGCUGACCUCCUUUCCGUCCUAAACAAGCGUCCUUGCCACUUCAACCAAUGGAGUUUCGCACUCGAGCGAUGGGAACCUUUCACCAGUGAAUCAAGUACUUCUUCUGAACAUGUGUUUAUUUAGAGUUUCUUUCUUUUUACAUUAAUUAUAUGUAGAUUCAAGAACCAAGGUUUCCACAUUUUUAAUGUAUUGGAAUGUCUCUUUUCAAAACAAAUACUACAUAAACAACAUUACAAAAUUUACCGAAGUAAACAAAAAAUUCAAUCUAAAAUAGUUUUUUUUUUACAGCCUAUCUAAAAUAGUUAUUUUCAUAUAUUUCUAAAGUUUAAUGGCUCAAAUUAUAAUAUAUGAUCAGUAAUAAUUUUUAUUAUGCAUGUUGUUGACCUGUUUAUAGCUCAAACUGUAAGAUCUAAUCAGUUAAUGCGGGUUUUAGUUAAAAUACUGAAUAUUGAUGAUAAUUAUGUGUUGAAGUGUUAUUUAAACAAAAAAAGUUUUAUACAUGUUUCAAAACUAACUAGAUAUAAAACAUAAAGAAAUUUCUCAAAUUAUAAUAUAUGAUCAGCAAUAAAUUUUAUUAUGCAUGUUAUUGAUCUGCUUAUAGCUCAAAUUGUAAUAUCUAAACUACUUAACGCAUUGAUGAAAAAUAUAUGUUGAAGCAUUAUUAAAAAAAAGAUUAGUAAUGUUAUAAGUAGAGAAGAUAGAAAGAGGAAUUGGUGUGUCUUAUUCAUUGAGUAAUAUAUCAUUUUAUAUAGGAUUACAAUAGUGUGGAGACAAAGUCUAACUUGGAGUGAGGAACAAGUAUAUUUAGGACUUUCCAAAUGGACAUCACCACAAUAUUUAUAACACUUACCCUUGAUGUCCAUUAUACCAAAGUGCUUUCAAAACGCCGUAGAUGCUGUUUCGUUAAAGACCUUAUCAAGAAAACCCAAUGGGAAAAACCAUGAUUAAGGAAAAAAGAGUAUAGCGCGUAAUGACUUUCCCUCAUGUGUACAUACGUCAAGAUCUUUGAGAUGAUGUAGUCUGAUAAGAUGAACUAACUUCUUGAAAGUAGCAGUGGUUAGCGGCUUGGUGAAUAAGUCAGAGAAAUUGUCACUUAAACGAACUUGUAGGACGGACAUCGACAUUCUUCUGCAGUGUAUGAGUCUUGAUAUGAUUUGAUAUUUUUCUUCAAUUCUCUUGACUUCAAAAUUUUAGAUCUGUUAUAGACUUUCAACUUUGAAAUUAUAAUAAUUCUUUCGGGUGUCUAUCAUUUGUGUGUUCUUUGUUUAAUGUUUAGGGUUUUUGCUCAGGGUUAGGGUUUCGUACUGAUAGCGUAUUAUAAGUAGAGAAGAUAAAAAGAGGAAGAAGUUGGCAGGACAGAAAGAAAUGGAUGGAGCGAGAGAAAACCCUAGCCGCUAGCGACCCAAAAGGUGAUUCUCAGAUCUGAAGCCCCCCGCCCCCGACGUCUUCUCCGAUCUGACCCUCCGGCCUUUCCAGACUCACAAGGGAGACUACCAACACUCCUUGUGUUUUCUGUCGUCUAGAUCUUCUCCGUAUCUCUCUGGCUUCUUUGCCACGUCUACUUUUUCAUCGUUUUCUCUCUCAGUCUGUCUCUACUCCGGCCUCCCUCUAGCAAACUGCUAAGCCCCAGUGAACCCUACAUCAUGUCUCUAUCAUCGAUGAUUGUGCGUAAAGGUGGACCCUCCACCGUGCGUCGCAAGCUUGACUCGGAAGAUGAGAUCAUCCGAAUCCCGGACUGUGAUCUUGAUGCUGUGGCCGAUCGCUUCCGUCUGACUCUUAUUGGACGAGUUUUUAACCUUCAAGGACGAAGCAUUGAUGCUUAGGAGAUUUAACAGCGCGAGCUUCAGGACCUGAAGUAGCAGCCUGUGGAAUCUUAGUGCAAGAUCCACACCCGGCAAAAGACCAUCCAUGAUAUGAACACUGCAAGUGUCCGUUCUCAUCAAGCCUUCCUUCCUACAAAACCACACAAUGCAUCAAUCAACACAUCUACUUCCAUAUAUACACAUUACAAAGCUAUUCAAAUAUCCAGACUUAACCAGAAAGACUUUCUUUUGUGCAUGUCAAUAAAUAUAUAACUGUUGUGAUUCUGAUGUUAAUAUUAUAUUCAAAAACAUGCAUGAAGCUGACUUGUUAUAUGAAUACAAUAAACAAUAGUUUUAUUUAUCUAUUCCAAACCAAUAGACCUAAUUAAACUACUAGUCUUUCAAGAAACAGAGGGAGAGAGAUUACAGAGAGAGGAGCAAGGCGGUGAGGACAGAGGUCAUCAAAGGCGGCCCAUUUCUGAUCGUUCCGAUCGAACCAGAGGACGAGGUUUCGACCCAGGAGCUGAAACCGGGUAGGCGAAUUCGGAUCCAGAUCUUCAACCAGAGAAACCGGAUACCAGUGAUCUCUCCACUUGAACUCAGACCCUUCUUCGCCGUGCUCUUCUUCGAUCCGACUCUCCUCCGCC
rnacentral:lncRNA from 1 species